GGAGAGGUGGCCGAGCCAGGUUGAAGGCGCUCCCCUGCUAAGGGAGUAAGGGCCGAAAGGCUCUUCGUGGGUUCGAAUCCCACCCUCUCCGCCA
rnacentral:tRNA from 4 species